GACGAACGCUGGCGGCGUGCUUAACACAUGCAAGUCGAACGGAAAGGCCCUGCUCUUGUGGGGUGCUCGAGUGGCGAACGCGUGAGUAACACGUGAGUAACCUGCCCUUGACUUUGGGAUAACUUCAGGAAACUGGGGCUAAUACCGCAUAGGAGCUCCUGCUGCAUGGUGGGGGUUGGAAAGUUUCGGCGGUUGGGGAUGGACUCGCGGCUUAUCAGCUUGUUGGUGGGGUAGUGGCUUACCAAGGCUUUGACGGGUAGCCGGCCUGAGAGGGUGACCGGGCACAUUGGGACUGAGAGACGGCCCAGACUCCUACGGGAGGCAGCAGUGGGGAAUAUUGCACAAUGGGCGGAAGCCUGAUGCAGCAACGCCGCGUGCGGGAUGACGGCCUUCGGGUUGUAAACCGCUUUCGACUGUGACGAAGCGUGAGUGACGGUAAUGGGUAAAGAAGCACCGGCUAACUACGUG
rnacentral:rRNA from 1 species